CGAUUUGUUGUGAUCCUUGCUGCCCACCCUCCUGAUUCGCGUCGCCGUCAUGCCUCUAUAGCUCAGAUCUAUCAAGCUGGUCGGAUUCCAGGAGACGACUGAGGAGGACCGGCCGAAUUCCAGGCAUCUUGGCGCUGCUUGGACUGAAUAUCUCCACACCCGGCUCCAGAUCUUGUCCACGACAGUAUGAUGAGGGAGAUGGUCCCAAUAGUGCUUUUGAUUCAUGUGAAGUAGACGGAACCUUGGGGCUGUACAUGGGAGAGUGGAUCAGGCUGAUGCACGCCGGCUCUCUGUGCCACCGCGACGUGUCCACCGCAUGCUCAACUUUCUUCCAUCGACGACUAUGACUGUGAGCGCCUCUUUACCUUUU